UACUGGAAUAUGACUGAAGAGAAAACUGUCAGUGUCUAACGGUCUUUACUGGAAGGAAAAACCUAUUCCCUUGUUUACAGUGGGGUGUGGAUACAGCUCCAUGCAGGUGAGUGUUCUAGGUUGCUAACAGGUUACUAGUGCAUUCUUAGGAGAAGGAUGUGCGUAACCAAACGAAGUUCCAAAUUGCUAAGCUAUGCACUAUGCAUAUCCUCAACUUCACUGAGAGACUUUUCUCCAUAAUUUACCAGGGGAGUUGAAGAUCAGUCUUUGAACUGCUUUGUGCUGUGUAGAGGUCUAAAGCAGAAUAGGGCGAAAUCCUCUAACCGAUUCUGUAGUUAAUGCUGUUAUAUCUUCCGAGCCUCCAUUGGUGAAAGCCCAGAAAAUUUCUCAGGCUGCUGGUCCAGGGACGAACAGAUAACUCCCUUUGCCUGUUUUGUCAAUCCUGGCGGCAGCUGUUGAUGGAGCACCAUUUGCAAUUGGAGUUGUUGGGUUCUGAAGACAUAAACUGUAUAAUUAUGGAGAAGAGGAAGGCUAAGAGUGAACCGAAGAAUCAGGGAGAGGGUUUGGAAUUUAGUUACUUGGGGGUAACCAACUGGCACUAUGGUUGAAGACGUGUUAUCCUGUGUUUCUGAAGUCCAUGAAGAUGCUGUGAUAAAUCUGGGGUAGUGAACUUCUCUUUGCAAUGGAUGGAAACCAUUACAGAGAACCACAACCAAUGAAAAUGCCAAAAUAAAUAAUGAUGUGCUACCCAGUCCCAAAUGAUGCAUCUACAACAAAAAUCCUGCACCUACACCUCAAGGAUCAUUGCAGAAAUAUUGUAAAAAGCCAGAGGAAUAGGGCGUUUGCUGUGAGAUCUUAUCUCCUAGAAGUGUCAGAAGUUACACCCAUCUAUUUCACCAAUGUGACUGCCUAACCAUGAGCUGAACAAGAGUAAGAACAGCAGACAUGCUAAUGUGGAUGGGGAAAGCUCAUGCGGCCUGAAAGCAGGACAAACAGUCUUCUCCAGGAAAGAGCACAGCAAUGGCUUCUCCAAUACCAAAUGGUCAACAUCCAAAAUGUAUAAAUACAAGUAACAGUAUACAGACUGAACAGGUUGUAUUUAGCAACACAACACACAUACUACCACCACCAUCACCAAAACAACAACAACAAUAAUAAUAAUUAAAGAAAAAGAGCCCAUGAAUUUGAAUGAAAGGGUUUGGAAUAAGAAAGUAAUGCAAUUAUGAUCUCACAAAUUAUUUAUUAAAAGGAAGUGAGAUCAAAGCCUUCAACCUAAUUACUGGGAAACAAUGAAAUCUCAACCUGUGUGUAAGUGAAUCAUGAAGAAGUACCAACAGUGCCCCAAGUCUUAUUUCCCUAACUCCUACCUGUCCUCUUUCACAGGCCUGGGCUGGGACUUCAUUUAUCACCUCAUUUCCACUGUCCUUUCUCUAUGAGGGGGCAUUAUGAUACUUCAGCACCCUACGUGUCAAUUUCACCCAAGACUCCCCUAUCCCUCAAUAUCCCCUGAAGACUCACAGCUCACGGGCACAGCCCAGUUUAUGGCCUUGCC